AUUUAGAGGAAGUAAAAGUCGUAACAAGGUUUCCGUAGGUGAACCUGCGGAAGGAUCAUUACCGAGUGCGGGCUCUCGCAGCCCAACCUCCCACCCGUGUUUACCGUGACCCUGUUGCUUCGGCGGGCCCACUGGGCCUAUGCCUGGUCGCCGGGGGGCGUCUCGUCCCCGGGUCCGCGCCCGCCGGAGAAUCUCUGAACCCUGUCUGAAGUAAGUGUCUGAGUGAAGAUUUUAAAUCAUUAAAACUUUCAGCAACGGAUCUCUUGGUUCCGGCAUCGAUGAAGAACGCAGCGAAAUGCGAUAAGUAAUGUGAAUUGCAGAAUUCCGUGAAUCAUCGAAUCUUUGAACGCACAUUGCGCCCCUUGGUAUUCCAUGGGGCAUGCCUGUUCGAGCGUCAUUUGUACCUUCAAGCUCUGCUUGGUGUUGGGUGUUUGUCCCGCCUCUGCGCGUGGACUCGCCUCAAAGCAAUUGGCAGCCGGCGUAUAGAUUUCAGAGCGCAGCACAAAACGCGCUUUGAUAACCAGUACGACGGCGUCCAGUAAGCCUUUUUUCAACUCUUGACCUCGGAUCAGGUAGGGAUACCCGCUGAACUUAAGCAUAUCAAUAAG
rnacentral:rRNA from 1 species